rnacentral:sRNA from 1 species
GCAGGGCGUAGUGGCGCACACCUGUAAUCCCAGUGGCUUGGGAGGCUGAGGCAGGAGGAUCGUGAGUUCAAAGCCACCUCAGCAACAGCGAGGCAAUAAGCAACUCAGUGAGACCCUGUCUCUA